rnacentral:tmRNA from 1 species
GGGGCUGACCGGUUUUGACAGCGUGCAGAAGUGGUGGGUAAGCGUGCAGAGCUUUGAGGUCUAUGCUCUUUAAUAUCAGGCUUCGAACAGAUCUAAACGGCGAGAAUAACUACGCUCUUGCUGCUUGAUUGAAGUACAGUAGAUCAGCUUAAUCGCUGCAAAAGUUGCGGCGACAAGACAUCGCCCGGUUGUCCUUUUUCCGAGACUAACCGAUCAGGCGGUGCAGGAAUAUCGGGAAUAGGGAACGGCCCGCCUCGCGCCGUCCCCGAAAACUUAGAGGCUAAGGGAGUGUUUGGUAGUUUCAGGCCUGCCACCCCACGAAAAUCAACUUGAAACUAAGCACGUAGAAAGCUCAUUAGUUCCGCGUUUGGACGAGGGUUCGAAUCCCUCCAGCUCCACUU